rnacentral:rRNA from 1 species
CCUACGGGAGGCAGCAGUGGGGAAUAUUGCACAAUGGGCGCAAGCCUGAUGCAGCGACGCCGCGUGAAGGAAGAAGGCUUUCGGGUUGUAAAGUUCUUUUCUGAGGGACGAAGAUAUUGACGGUACCUUAGGAAUAAGCCACGGCUAACUUCUGGCCAGCAGCCGCGUUAAUACGUAGGGGGCAAGCGUUUUCCGGAUUUGUUGGGUGUAAUGGGCGUGUAGGCGGGAAAGCAAGUCCGCUGUGAAAACUCAGGGCUCAACCCUGGGCCUGCAUUUGAAACUGUUUUACUUGAGUGCUGGAGAGACAAGCGGAAUUCCGUGUGUAGCGGUGAAAUGCGUAGAUAUACGGAAGAACACCAGUGGCGAAGGCGGAUUGCUGGACAGUAACUGACGCUGAGGCGCGAAAGCGUGGGGAGCAAACAGGAUUAGAUACCCGUGUAGUC